CGGGCAUAGCGGCAGGCCUACACAUGCAGUCGAGCGGUAGAGAGAAGCUUGCUUCUCUUGAGAGCGGCGGACGGGUGAGUAAUGCCUAGGAAUCUGCCUGGUAGUGGGGGAUAACGCUCGGAAACGGACGCUAAUACCGCAUACGUCCUACGGGAGAAAGCAGGGGACCUUCGGGCCUUGCGCUAUCAGAUGAGCCUAGGUCGGAUUAGCUAGUUGGUGAGGUAAUGGCUCACCAAGGCGACGAUCCGUAACUGGUCUGAGAGGAUGAUCAGUCACACUGGAACUGAGACACGGUCCAGACUCCUACGGGAGGCAGCAGUGGGGAAUAUUGGACAAUGGGCGAAAGCCUGAUCCAGCCAUGCCGCGUGUGUGAAGAAGGUCUUCGGAUUGUAAAGCACUUUAAGUUGGGAGGAAGGGCAUUAACCUAAUACGUUGGUGUCUUGACGUUACCGACGGAAUAAGCGCCGGCUAACUCUGUGGGAGCAGCCGCGGAAAUACAGAGGGUGGAAGCGUUAUUCCGAAUUACUGGGCUUAAACCGCGCGUACCCGGGUUGUGGGCGGGCCCGUGAAAUUUCUUUGGAGUUUAACCGGUGGUGCCGUCAUCCCCGAGGCGGUAAAUUAUAGGGGGAUAGUGGCGCCAAUU
rnacentral:rRNA from 1 species